ACCGGUUUCGAAACCGGAGCGCGCCACCGGCGUCCACACUGAAAUCGCCAUCUCGUCCUUCCUCGAUGUUGCGCCGCACCUUUUGGAGACUCGGAUCUGCAGGUUGCAAAUUUCUGAUCCUCUCCAAUAAGGUCGGUUGAAUAACGAGCGCCAUCAGCUGAGCCGGGACCUCGGGAGCGACNNNNNNNNNNNNNNNNNNNNNNNNGGCACGCACCACCGGUUUCGAAACCGGAGCGCGCCACCGGCGUCCACACUGAAAUCGCCAUCUCGUCCUUCCUCGAUGUUGCGCCGCACCUUUUGGAGACUCGGAUCUGCAGGUUGCAAAUUUCUGAUCCUCUCCAAUAAGGUCGGUUGAAUAACGAGCGCCAUCAGCUGAGCCGGGACCUCGGGAGCGACCACUUCGAGGUCCAGUCGCUCCAUCUCCAGCCCUAGGGGUGUUUGCCGGGUAACGUCAAAAGCGAGGUUCUUCGCCGACUUUCUGCUAAGUGCGUCUGCGACCACAUUUGCUUUGCCGGGGUGGUAGAGAAUAUCGACAUCAUAGUCCUUUAAUAGUUCUAACCACCGCCGCUGCCGCAUGUUUAGCUCCUUCUGGGUAAACAGAUACUUCAGACUUUUGUGGUCGGUGUAGAUCUCGCAGUGUGCACCGUACAGGUAGUGCCUC
rnacentral:lncRNA from 1 species